UGGAAACACUGUUUCCCGUACGAUCAUAGAAGUUCAGCAACAUCGUGCCUUGUUAUUACCUAGAUGGGUGACCGCUUGGGAAUACCAGGUGUUGUAA